rnacentral:rRNA from 1 species
UACGAAGGGGGCUAGCGUUGUCCGGAUUUAUUGGGCGUAAAGAGCUCGUAGGCGGUCUGUCGCGUCGGCUGUGAAAACCCGGGGCUCAACCCCGGGCCUGCAGUCGAUACGGGCAGACUAGAGUGCGGUAGGGGAGACUGGAAUUCCUGGUGUAGCGGUGAAAUGCGCAGAUAUCAGGAGGAACACCGGUGGCGAAGGCGGUUCUCUGGGCAUGUCCUGACGCUGAGGAGCGAAAGCGUGGGGAGCGAACAGG